rnacentral:rRNA from 1 species
GAUAGUGAACCAGUACCGUGAGGGAAAGGCGAAAAGAACCCCGGGAGGGGAGUGAAGAAGAACCUGAAACCGUGUACGUACAAGCAGUGGGAGCCUGAAAGGGUGACUGCGUACCUUUUGUAUAAUGGGUCAGCGACUUAUAUUUUGUAGCGAGGUUAACUGAAUAAGGGAGCCGAAGGGAAACCGAGUCUUAACUGGGCGCUAAGUUGCAAGAUAUAGACCCGAAACCCGGUGAUCUAGCCAUGGGCAGGAAGAAGGUUGGGUAACACUAACUGGAGGACCGAACCGACUACUGUUGAAAAAGUAGCGGAUGACCUGUGGCUGGGGGUGAAAGGCCAAUCAAACCGGGAGAUAGCUGGUUCUCCCCGAAAUCUAUUUAGGUAGAGCCUUAUAUGAAUACCUUCGGGGGUAGAGCACUGUUUCGGCUAGGGGUCCAUCCCGGAUUACCAACCCGAUGCAAACUGCGAAUACCGAAGAGUAAUGUAUAGGAGACACACGGCGGGUGCUAACGUUCGUCGUGGAGAGGGAAACAACCCAGACCGCCAGCUAAGGUCCCAAAGUCUAUAUUAAGUGGGAAACGAAGUGGAAAGGCUUAGACAGCUAGGAUGUUGGCUUAGAAGCAGCCACCAUUUAAAGAAAGCGUAAUAGCUCACUAGUCGAGUCGGUCUGCGCGGAAGAUGUAACGGGGCUAAAAUAUAGCACCGAAGCUGCGGCAUCAAGAGAAAUCUUGUUGGGUAGGGGAGCGUUGUGUAAGCUGAAGAAGGUGGUUCGAGAGGGCUGCUGGAGGUAUCACAAGUGCGAAUGCUGACAUAAGUAACGAUAAAGCGGGUGAAAGACCCGCUCGCCGGAAGACCAAGGUUUCCUGUCCAACGUUAAUCGGGGCAGGGUGAGUCGGCCCCUAAGGCGAGGCUGAGAAGCGUAGUCGAUGGGAAAUGGGUUAAUAUUCCCAUACUUGGAUAAACUGCGAUGUGGGGACGGAGCAGGUUAGGUUAGCGUACGGAUGGAAGAGUACGUUUAAGUUAGUAGGUGGGUGAGUUAGGCAAAUCCGGCUCACCAUUAACACUGAGAGAUGAUGACGAGGCACCAAGGUGCUGAAGUAACUGAUACCCAACUUCCAGGAAAAGCCACUAAGCGAAAGGUUUAUCUAAACCGUACUGGAAACCGACACAGGUGGUCAGGUAGAGAAUACUAAGGCGCUUGAGAGAACUCGGGUGAAGGAACUAGGCAAAAUAGCACCGUAACUUCGGGAGAAGGUGCGCUGGCGUAGUGUGAAGUCCGAAGCGGAUGGAGCAUGAACCAGUCGAAGCGACGAGCUGGCUGCAACUGUUUAAUAAAAACACAGCACUCUGCAAACACGAAAGUGGACGUAUAGGGUGUGAUGCCUGCCCGGUGCUGGAAGGUUAAUUGAUGGUGUCAUCGAAAGAGAAGCACCUGAUCGAAGCCCCAGUAAACGGCGGCCGUAACUAUAACGGUCCUAAGGUAGCGAAAUUCCUUGUCGGGUAAGUUCCGACCUGCACGAAUGGCAUAAUGAUGGCCAGGCUGUCUCCACCCGAGACUCAGUGAAAUUGAAAUCGCCGUGAAGAUGCGGUGUACCCGCGGCUAGACGGAAAGACCCCGUGAACCUUUACUAUAGCUUGACACUGAACCUUGAAUUUUAAUGUGUAGGAUAGGUGGGAGACUGCGAAGCGGUAACGCCAGUUAUCGUGGAGUCGCUGUUGAAAUACCACCCUUUAACGUUUGAUGUUCUAACGAAGCGCUCGGGACGAGUGUUCGGACAGUGUCUGGUGGGUAGUUUGACUGGGGCGGUCUCCUCCCAAAGCGUAACGGAGGAGCACGAAGGUUGGCUAAUGACGGUCGGACAUCGUCAGGUUAGUGCAAUGGUAGAAGCCAGCUUAACUGCGAGACGGACAAGUCGAGCAGGUACGAAAGUAGGUCAUAGUGAUCCGGUGGUUCUGAAUGGAAGGGCCAUCGCUCAACGGAUAAAAGGUACUCCGGGGAUAACAGGCUGAUACCGCCCAAGAGUUCAUAUCGACGGCGGUGUUUGGCACCUCGAUGUCGGCUCAUCACAUCCUGGGGCUGAAGUAGGUCCCAAGGGUAUGGCUGUUCGCCAUUUAAAGUGGUACGCGAGCUGGGUUUAGAACGUCGUGAGACAGUUCGGUCCCUAUCUGCCGUGGGCGUUGGAGAAUUGAGGGGGGUUGCUCCUAGUACGAGAGGACCGGAGUGAACGCAUCACUGGUGUUCCAGUUGUUUCGCCAGA